CUUUCGGGUUUCAGAUCACCGGCACACGCGGCUGCAGCAGUACAAUGCAAUACAUGAUAAAUAUAAAAUACUGAAUUCCUGGCAUUAAGAGCAAGGAGGUCACAGUGAGAAGAGGGGUGGUACAGACCAAAGCUGCAAUACAACUCAUUUCUGAAGCAACUGGAAAAAUAAUUCUAACACCUCCUCAGACAAGUUGCUGCAAAGUUUCAAUGGGAUGCAAGAACUAUCAACGUUUGAAGCUAGUGUAAAUGCUUAGGGCUUCGUACGUUAAUCCACUCACUGACCAACAGAGAACAGGGUCUUCUCCAUUUUAACAGAAAUUUUGUUUCAGUCUUACCCAUUCCUCCUUUUCACUCUUUAUUUCUUAAAGUAGAAUGUGUCAGACUAAAGAAAAUGUAUUGGUUACAAGUAAUGGGACUGCCACAAAUGGUCCAUAUCCUGGAAUCCAGAAGCCUGCUAUUUCUAGGCUAUUCAUUGUGUGUAUGCCAAGAAGGGAAACACUUUUUAUGUUCAUGAGUGAUUACAACAGAGCCCUAUCCUGACCUCCAAGAUGACUAAUGACCCCACCGUCACCCCUCUUCAAUCUCUUAAUUACAGGCAUUUGCAAUAUUUCCAAAUGUUGAAGGCAUAGCCCUACCAGAAGCCAAAUGUUCACAACCUGCAAUUGGAGAUAACAUCCCUGUUAUUAACUCAACAAAGCAUCAGAGUCAACAAGUCACUCAGCCACAAAGGAUGAUUUGUGCUGAAACAUAGGAGCAGUAGCAAAGAUCACCUACAAAUUUGCAACAAUGAUUUACAGCUGCACCAAGGAGCCAGUCCUUUAGUUUUUGCUCCCUCAACCAUCAAUGCCACCC